rnacentral:lncRNA from 1 species
UUGUUCCUUUUGGGUUUAGCAUGUAAUGUAGCACUUUGUUACUAAUACACGGUUCCUUGAUGGUGUUGAACUACAUGUCAUUUGCAAUAGCACAUGUAUUGUCGCUUAUGUGGUUCUGAUGAAUAAUUAUUAUGUAGGAAUUGAAGCUCGAGGUUUUAGAUUAAAAAAAUGAGCUUUUUACAGUAUUGUUGAGUUUCAUGGGAAUCUUCGAUUUUCAACUAAGCUCCUCACUAGGUAUCUAAACUAAGUAGUUCUUGUACAUGUUAAAUAAUUGAGUAUUUGCAGUAUAAACUGUAAUGAAGUGUAUAAUCUUUUAUUUUUAAUUCCCCUAGAAAUUAUUUAUUUUAGUUCUUUAUAUAUCCAAUUCUUUUAAUAGUUCAGUUACAUUCACUUUUCAUUUUGUGCUAGUUUUUAUGGUUUAUGAACGUGAGAGACUAAAAGGAUAUAUCCAGCGAUAGUGUAAAAUUAUUGGACUAUUUACAUAUAUGUUAAUUUGUUUUCAUAUAUGUCUUAGUUAUGCUGGACUGGACAUUUUAUAAGCUAUUUUUAUUAGUUUUUCCUAACUUGCAUACGUGCAUAAAAUAAGAUUCAACAAAACUUAUAACUAUAGUUAAUGUUGGGUUCUUUAAGAGGAAGUAUCUGAAACAUUCGGCACAAAUCAACCAUGAGGCAACCCAUAUAAGAAAACUCCAACACCAGCUCUAACCAUAUUUUGUGUUGUUUUUUAGAUGAUAUCGACAUGCUUAUUUUCCUUUCUCCAUCUUGGUUUUGUAGAGUCUUGUUUGAUAUCACCUUUGGUUACAUUUUGUUCUGCAUUAUCCAUAGGGAACAUGUGCAAUUUGCCUGAAUUCCAUGAAACUAGGGCAGGGACAUGCCAUAUUAUAUAUCUAUCUCAUUUCAGGCAAGCUCUUCAGUUGCACAAGAGUGACCCCGGACCAGUUAUUCUAGACAUUAUUAAUACAAUUGAAGGUGGCUCUCUAGUUGAUGUUUCAGUUGUUCGUUCUAUGUAAGAUGUUAUGCAUUUAUGUUAUAUUUCUUGUUGCUGUAAUGUCCUAGAGUUUUUAUUGUUAAAUCAUAGACAAGAGUCUGUAUCAUAUAUUUGCAUUGUGUUCCAUAUUCAAAUUUAUAUUAUUUUA